UGCUACCAGUGUUCCAAGAGGGGACAUUUUGCCACUGUGUGUCGCAGUAGACCCUUCGCGCGGUCACCACCAGCAUGGCAUCAGCAAGCCUCCAGUCCCUCCAGGCCUAGGCGUUCGGAUCAUGCCGAGUCUAUGGCCCUGUCAGACACCCAACCGGACCUCCGCACACCGGGAUUUUACGCCGAUGUUGAGGCGACAGCCUUCAAUGCUGCGGCACCAGCACACAGCCAAUUCCAGUGAAUCCCGAGUUUUCUGCGGGCGCACCGGCCUCGCCUCCCCCUGAACGCAGGUACUCCACUGGCGAAAAGGAAGCUUUGGCUUGUUUAUGGGCUUGUGAAAAGUGGCAUGUCUACUUCUGGGGAAGAAGGUUCACACUGAUCACGG
rnacentral:lncRNA from 1 species